rnacentral:ncRNA from 2 species
GUGGCCGGGCACGGGAGCCCUGCACGGGGCUGAGAGGGCGUCGGAGCCGACCGUCGAACCUGAUCUGGGUCAUGCCAGCGAAGGGAGCGCACAUGCCCGUCUC